rfam:Populus trichocarpa isolate Nisqually-1 chromosome 2, whole genome shotgun sequence.
GAGAUAUGAUGAGAUAAACUUUUGGUCCGUGUUUCUGAUUUAACCGUGACCGAUAAUUUUUACCAAUUUCUGAUCUC